AUUGAACGCUGGCGGCAGGCCUAACACAUGCAAGUCGAGCGAGCGGCGGACGGGUGAGUAAUGUAUGGGGACUGCCCGUUAGAGGGGGAUAACUACUGGAAACGGUGGCUAAUACCGCAUACUAUCGGAUAACCCAUAUGGGAUUAGCUAGUAGGUGGGGUAAAGGCUCACCUAGGCGACGAUCUCUAGCUGGUCUGAGAGGCGGAUCGGCCAAAUGGGGACGAGGACAGGGCCCAGACUCCUACGGAGGCGGCAGUGGGGAAUAUUGCACAAUGGGCGCAAGCCUGAUGCAGCCAGGCGGCGUGGAUGAGGAAGGCCUUAGGGUGGUAAAGUACGUUCAGCGGGGAGGCGUUACCCGCAGAGGAAGCACCGGCUAACUCCGUGCCAGCAGCCGCGGUAAUUC
rnacentral:rRNA from 1 species